rnacentral:lncRNA from 1 species
AGAUCAUGUUGAAUUAUGAAAUGAAUAUAAGAUAUACACUUUAGAAAUUGGGCAGGAAUACUAAUAAUAGUAUUGAAUUUUUUUUGCUAUCGAAUUUUUAAUUUCAGAUGAAAAAUUAUAAGAUUAGAAUGGCAGUGGUCCCAUUGAAAAAUUAUAAGAUUAAAAUGAUAAUAGUCUCAUAGGGUUUAGUGAUGAUCCGAUUGAUUGAAUAAUAUGAUUUAAAAGAUAAAGUUAAUUAAAGUGUAGAUCUAGCAGCGAGCAAAAAAGUCAAAAUAUCAUUAACAGAAAAAUAUGUAUAAAUAUUUGUUUGUUCGAUAAAA